UGGCCUAGGCCGCCGUCUCGGCGUGCCGCUCGUGCCUAUUACCUUGACUAUGCGCACCUUUGUUGUUCCCUCGGCAGUCCGCUGCCGCUAGGGACCCCGAAAACCCCUUUGUAUUAGCAGUAAACUUCUGAAACAAACCUAAAUAUUUACAACUUUCAACAAUGGAUCUCUUGGUUCU
rnacentral:misc_RNA from 1 species